rnacentral:rRNA from 1 species
GGACUACCAGGGUAUCUAAUCCCGUUUGCUCCCCUAGCUUUCGUGCCUCAGCGUCAGAAGAGAUCCAGUGAACCGCUUUCGCCACCGGUGUUCCUUAGGAUAUCAACGCAUUUCACCGCUCCACCCUAAGUUCCGUUCACCUCUAUCUCCCUCAAGCACGGUAGUUUUGAGCGCAGUUCCUCAGUUAAGCUGAGGGAUUUCACACCCAACUUUCCGCACCGCCUACGCACCCUUUAAGCCCAGUGAUUCCGAAUAACGUUUGCAUGGUUCGUCUUACCGCGGCUGCUGGCAC